rnacentral:rRNA from 1 species
UACGUAGGGGGCGAGCGUUGUCCGGAAUUAUUGGGCGUAAAGAGCUUGUAGGCGGUCUGUCGCGUCUGCUGUGAAAAUCCGGGGCUCAACCCCGGACUUGCAGUGGGUACGGGCAGACUAGAGUGUGGUAGGGGAGACUGGAAUUCCUGGUGUAGCGGUGGAAUGCGCAGAUAUCAGGAGGAACACCGAUGGCGAAGGCAGGUCUCUGGGCCACUACUGACGCUGAUAAGCGAAAGCAUGGGGAGCGAACAGG